rnacentral:siRNA from 1 species
ACAGUGUGGUGGUCUUUCGGGGA